UACAGAGGGGACUAGCGUUGUUCGGAAUGACUGGGCGUAAAGGGCGCGUAGGCGGUUUAUAGAGUCAGACGUGAAAGCCCCGGGCUUAACCUGGGAGGUGCGUAUGAUACCUAUAGACUAGAGAGUAAGAGAGGGGAGUGGAAUUCCAAGUGUAGAGGUGAAAUUCGUAGAUAUUUGGAGGAACACCGAUGGCGAAAGCAACUUUCUGGCUUAUUUCUGACGCUGAGGCGCGAAAGCGUGGGGAGCAAACAGG
rnacentral:rRNA from 1 species